UGAAAGCUGAGCUCACGCCAGACAAGCUUGUUUCCAUGCCGCAGCACUCCACUGGACAAGCAGGAGCAUAUCAUAGUUUAAAGACCCUGUCUCCAAAUACAGUCACAUUCUGAAGAAUU
rnacentral:lncRNA from 1 species